rnacentral:miRNA from 1 species
CGUGUUGUGGAGAACGACAA